rnacentral:lncRNA from 1 species
GACGAAGCUGUUGAAGACGAGUUUAAUGAAAAUGAUGAUAUUUCUAGUGAUGACGAGAAUGUCGAGGAAUCCGAUUGAUGUAUAUGAUUUUUUGUAGUUUGUUUUAGAAUAAGGUAAUGUGAGAGUUUGUUUUAUGAAUAAGAUAAUAUUGUGGGAGUUUGUUUUGUGAAUAAGAAAAUGUGGGAGUUUGUUUUAUGAAUAAGUAAGAAUUGUGGUUUGGAAUAUAUGAAGUAGAAGAUAAGGAAAUGUGGUUUGGAAUGAAAAUAAAGAUAGAGUUUGGAAUAUAUGAAGUAGAAGAUAGGGAAUAUGGGGUUUGGGGUUUGGGGUUUCAGAUUUUAGGGAUUUAAACGUAAUACUCGCUAAUUCCUCGUACGUUGACGUUGAACUUACGACGUAGUCCUCGUUUAUUCCACGUAGACAGAUUCGUCGUAAAGGACUCGUUGGCUAACAUGGAAAUAACGACGAAAUUAAUAAAUAAAUAAAGCGAAACUUGUUAAUUCCACGUAGGAGAGAAUCGUCGUAAACACCUCGUAAAGUAAAUGAUGAACACGGCCCUCUUUAAUUCCACGUAGGACGGAAUCGUCGUAAACACCUCGUAACAUAAAUCGUCGUAAAUACCUCGUAAAGUAAAUGAUGAACGCGGCCCUCUUUAAUUCCACGUAGGACGUAAAUCGUCGUAAACACCUCGUAACGUAAAUCGUCGUAAAGACCUCGUAGUGUAAAAACUAGAAAAAAAAAGAAAAAGAAGAAAUAUACUGGAUUUACAUGUGGCAAGACUUCCAG